UACGAAGGGGGCUAGCGUUGCUCGGAAUCACUGGGCGUAAAGGGUGCGUAGGCGGGUCUUUUAAGUCAGGGGUGAAAUCCUGGAGCUCAACUCCGGAACUGCCUUUGAUACUGAAGAUCUUGAGUUCGGGAGAGGUGAGUGGAACUGCGAGUGUAGAGGUGAAAUUCGUAGAUAUUCGCAAGAACACCAGUGGCGAAGGCGGCUCACUGGCCCGAUACUGACGCUGAGGUGCGAAAGCGUGGGGAGCAAACAGG
rnacentral:rRNA from 1 species